GCUCUGGGAUGGCUCAGUUGGUAGAGCAGGAGACUCAUAAUCUCAGGAUGAGUGGUUCGAGCCCCACAUUGGGCA